GAAGCAGGCCAAGGCAGCCGCUGGCUGGCGUGUAAUGCGUCGGCGGGAGGAAGGUCCGGACUCCAUAGAGCAGGGUGACGGUUAACGGCCGUCCGCUGAAAGCUUCCCGCGCAAGCGGGGGUAUAAGGCGAGGAAUAGGGCCACAGAGACGAGCGUAUUAAGUUACGGUGAAACGCGGUAACCUCCACCUGGAGCAAUUCCAAAUAGGCACGCGUUGAUGUUGCUCGCGGAGCGUGCGGGUAGGAAGCUUGAGCGCCGGAGUAAUUCGGCGCCUAGAGGAAUGGCUGUCAUAGCGAACGUUCGCAAGGGCGUUCGCCGUAUACAGAAUCCGGCCUAUCGGCCUGCUUUACAC
rnacentral:RNase_P_RNA from 1 species